AUCACUUCUCAGCCUUUUGGCUAAGAUCAAGUGUAAAAUCUGGUAUAUAUAUAUAUAUAUUUAUUUAUUUAUUUAUUUUUUAUUUUAUUUUUUUUGGUGCCCGGGAUAUCGAACUCAGGUCCUUGCGCUUGCGCAGCAGGUGGUGAAACUACUGAGCUAAAUCCCCAGCCCAAAAUCUG
rnacentral:snRNA from 1 species